rnacentral:rRNA from 1 species
AUGCACCUCGUCAAUCCGGUCACAUGUGAACAGAUUGCUCUCCCUUCAGUGAUCACAAUUGAGCAGGUGAGGCCCAUCUUUGAUGAGAAUGGUGCUGCCCACAAGUAUGAACUCUCAUGGCACACUGGAAUGCACGAUGGUUAUAACUCACCAUCAAUCUUUGCUCUUGACAACCUGCGGCACGAACUCCACUAUAAGGCAUAUGUGUUCUCCGAUGCAUCCACGGAAAGCUUCAUUGUGGUGCUCAUCCACAAUCCAAUGCGUCAGCUCUCUUAUGCAAGGGUAGGGGAUGACAAGUGGACCUGGCUGCCACCUCAUGAUAUCUAUGACGACUGCACUUACAAGAAUGGCCUAUUGUAUGCAGCGACUGCAACUGGAGAAAUUCAUGCUUUUGAUCUUAGUGGGCCUUUCGCCAGUAUGAAGAUAAUUAUGGGGGCAUCUGAGAAUGUUUCAGCUGGCAGUGUGUACAUCGUUCAAGCUCCCUGGGGUGAUCUGCUGCUUAUUGGGAGAAUCUUUGGGGAUUAUGAUUUAGAACCUGAACCUGGGGCAUCUGUGUUUUGGCAAACAGGCAGAAUUAAUAUGUAUGAAGUUGACAAGGUGGCAAGUAAACUUAAGGAAAUCAAUUCGUUGCGUGCCCAUGUGUUAUUUCUUGGGCAUAAUCAAUCUCUUUGUCUCAAUGCUGAAGAAUAUCCAGCACUCAAGGCAAAUCAUGUCUACUUUACUGAUGAUAGUUUUUUCUGGACAACGGGAUUGAAGAAUAAUCACUGCGACAUGGGAGUUCUCGAUUUGGAUGAUAAUAGCAGGGAGGAAAUUAUAUCUCCUCAUCUUUGCUCCAACUUUCCGGCUCCUAUGUGGAUUACGGCUGAUCUUAGAAAGAUGAACUUGGCAUCAGUAGGGGUAGCUUGA